rnacentral:rRNA from 1 species
UUAUCUCUGUAGAGUCUGCAUAUCAAUAAGCGGAGGAAAAGAAACUAACUAGGAUUCCCUUAGUAACGGCGAGUGAAGCGGGAAGAGCUCAAAUUUGAAAUCUUCAAGGUUUUACCUUGACGAAUUGUAGUUUAAAGAAGUGUUUUCUGUUAGAGUUUGAGUAGCAAAGUUCCUUGGAAUAGGGACAUCAUAGAGGGUGAGAAUCCCGUAUUUGGACCUAUUCAUUUCCUAGCUUUGUGAUACACUUUCAAAGAGUCGGAUUGUUUGGGAAUGCAGUCCAAAAUGGGUGGUAAAUUUCAUCUAAAGCUAAAUACUGGCGAGAGACCGAUAGCGAACAAGUACCGUGAGGGAAAGAUGAAAAGAACUUUGAAAAGAGAGUUAAACAGUACGUGAAAUUGUCAAAAGGGAAGCGUUUGACACCAGUGUUGUUUUCUCGAAAAUCAAUUAAAAAAUGGCAUGAUUUUGUGUUGUAUUGACCUUUAAUCAAGCUUUCUUCACUCUUUUUCAUUGUCUUUUUUUAAUGCACUUUUCGUUUAACAAGUCAACAUCAAUUUCUUUUGUUGUAAAAGAGUCAUUCGGAAGGUGGCUUUCUUUUCGGAGAAAGUGUUUAUAGCCCUUAUGCCUCUACAAUCGGAGAGAUUGAGGUCUGCAGCGUAGAUCCUUCGGGGUUAGAUACACUUUGUGCUAAGUUAUAGCCUUUUCAUAGACAACUUGUUGACUAUGAUCUAGUCAUGUAGGCUUACUCGCUUAGUGCUAUUUUACCUACGCUUAGGAUGUUGACGAGACUGUCGAUCUC